AUUUAUGGCUAAUUGGGAAGUUGAUUUGUCGGAGAAUCUAGAAGACUACCUUCAAAAUUAUUACCGGAGAAAUCACUGGAAAUGAAGAAGAUGGGCAGAUUCCUAUGAAUUCGCUGAAGGUUUGUGGUAUUUUGCUUCAAUUUUCAGAAAUUUGUUUCUCUUUUGAUUCAACUUAUUCCAUUUUUUAGAGUAAUUGAGAAUUGGGUUUCGAAUUUUGUGUUUCUCUGGAUCUGUGGCUGUUUUCUACUUCAUGGUUCGGUUCAGGUUUACUCCCAAGAAAGUGGAGUACAUGUACAAUUUGGUUCUUCGUACGUUGGAGUUUCUAUCGAAGCAAAGAUGAAGUGAAUUUAUACCAUCGUUGCCACUGUUUAUAUCAGAGGAGUGAUGUCAUCUUUGUCCAGCGCAGCCUAAGAGAUGUUUUAGAAAAGUCCCAACACUUUGAGUUUAAGGUAGAGGAUCUCGACCAGACCAAUAACUAGGAGGCAGUUUUUGGAGAAGAAAAACA